rnacentral:misc_RNA from 1 species
AAGACUAUAGACCUGCGGAGUACCUGCGGAAGGAUCAUUACCGUUGGGGGUCAAACUCCAAUCGGGAUAGACACCCUUGCCUUUGAGUACCUUUUCGUUUCCUCGGCGGGCUCGCCCGCCGGUGGACAUCCAAAAAAACCCCUUGUAAUAGCAGUAUCUUCUGAAUAAAAAGCAAAUAGUCAAAACUUUUAACAAUGGAUCUCU